rnacentral:rRNA from 1 species
UACGUAGGGGGCAAGCGUUGUCCGGAUUUAUUGGGCGUAAAGAGCGUGUAGGCGGCCUGAUAGGUCAGCUGUGAAAACUCGAGGCUCAACCUCGAGACGUCGGUUGAAACCAUCUGGCUAGAGUCCGGAAGAGGAGAGUGGAAUUCCCGGUGUAGCGGUGAAAUGCGCAGAUAUCGGGAAGAACACCCGUGGCGAAGGCGGCUCUCUGGGACGGUACUGACGCUGAGGAGCGAAAGCGUGGGGAGCGAACAGG